rnacentral:rRNA from 1 species
UUUAAAUGUAAUUAAAUAAUUUUUGAGUAGUAAUAGUUAUGUUCUUAAAACUUAAAAAAUUUGGCGGUAUUUUAAUCUACACAGAGGAGUUUGUUUUAUAAUUGAUAAUCCGCACUGAAUCUUACUUAAAAAUGUUUAGCUUGUAUAUCGUUGUCAUAAGAAUAUCUUAAAAAAGAAAAAAUAUUCUAGUUUAAUAAAAGUUUUAAAUGUCAGAUCAAGGUGCAGCUUAUAUUUAAGUAAAAAUGAACUACAAUUAAAAUUAUUAAUUAAUGAAUUAUAAAGUGAAAUUUUUAUAUGAAGGUGGAUUUGUUUGUAAAUUUUUAGAGAUUAUAAGGUUGAUUUUA